rnacentral:misc_RNA from 1 species
UCUGACUGUGUGUAAAUGCU